UAGUGUUACAGUUCUUUCAGAAUUUGACAAGCAGGUUUUCCAGCCCUAGCCAGAAGGCUCUA
rnacentral:snRNA from 1 species